rnacentral:misc_RNA from 1 species
GAUGAAGAACGUAGCAAAAUGCGAUAAGUAAUGUGAAUUGCAGAAUUCAGUGAAUCAUCGAAUCUUUGAACGCACAUUGCGCCCGCUGGUAUUCCGGCGGGCAUGCCUGUUCGAGCGUCAUUUCAACCCUCAAACCCCCCGGGUUUGGUGUUGGGGAUCGGCUCUGCCUCACGGCGGUGCCGCCCCCGAAAUACAUUGGCGGUCUCGCUGCAGCCUCCAUUGCGUAGUAGCUAACACCUCGCAACUGGAAUGCGGCGCGGCCAUGCCGUAAAACCCCAACUUCUGAAUGUUGACCUCGGAUCAGGUAGGAAUACCCGCUGAACUUAAGCAUAUCAAUAAGCGGAGGA